AUGAAGAACAACAAAGACAAAAGGGCAAAAUAUAUCAAUGUGCCUAUUGCCAACUUUGAUGAGAUGGAGUUCAUAUUUCAGAAUAAGCAUGCUACCGGGGAGUUCACGGUCCUUCAAACACCCUAUGACCGUGUUCAUGCUCGUGACAAGGAUUUUAUUGGUGACACCGAGAAGCGUGUGAUUGAUAUUGAGAUUGAUCCUGCAACACAAUAUGAUUCAGAUUGUCUUCCUGAUGACACCAAUAAUGAAAGCUCGUCUUUGAAACGUCCUAGAGGUGGCAAAAGCGAUAAAGGUAAGAGGGUGAAGUGUGAGGAGAGUGUAGUUCAAGACAUGACGCGGUCUCUGCGUGAUAUGUAG
rnacentral:rRNA from 1 species